CAGUCGCCACGGUAAUACGGAGGGGGCUAGCGUUGUUCGGAAUUACUGGGCGUAAAGCGCACGUAGGCGGCUUGGUAAGUUAGAGGUGAAAGCCCGGAGCUCAACUCCGGAAUUGCCUUUAAGACUGCCGAGCUAGUAGGUGAGAGAGGUAAGUGGAAUUCCGAGUGUAGAGGUGAAAUUCGUAGAUAUUCGGAAGAACACCAGUGGCGAAGGCGGCUUACUGGCUCAUUCUAGACGCUGAGGUGCGAAAGCGUGGGGAGCAAACAGGAUUAGAUACCCGCGUAGUCCCUGUCUCUUAUAC
rnacentral:rRNA from 1 species